rnacentral:rRNA from 1 species
AUACGUAGGAUCCGAGCGUUAUCCGGAUUUAUUGGGUUUAAAGGGUGCGCAGGCGGCCAUUUAAGUCAGCGGUUAAAUCGUGGGGCUCAACCCCAUUCUGCCGUUGAUACUGGGUGGCUUGAUUGCGGUCGAGGUUGGCGGAAUUCGUUGUGUAGCGGUGAAAUGCAUAGAUAUGACGAAGAACACCGAUUGCGUAGGCAGCUGACCAGACCGCAAAUGACGCUCAUGCGCGAAAGUGCGGGGAUCGAACAGGAUUAGAUACCCUGGUAGUCCGCACAGUAAACGAUGAAUACUUGUUUUCGGCGAUAUAAUGUCGGAGGCAAAGCGAAAGCGAUAAGUAUUCCACCUGGGGAGUACGCCGGCAACGGUGAAACUCAAAGGAAUUGACGGGG